rnacentral:rRNA from 1 species
GGGGGAAUAUUGGACAAUGGGCGAAAGCCUGAUCCAGCCAUGCCGCGUGUGUGAAGAAGGUCUUCGGAUUGUAAAGCACUUUAAGUUGGGAGGAAGGGCAUUAACCUAAUACGUUAGUGUUUUGACGUUACCGACAGAAUAAGCACCGGCUAACUCUGUGCCAGCAGCCGCGGUAAUAUAGAGGGUGCAAGCGUUAAUCGGAAUUACUGGGCGUAAAGCGCGCGUAGGUGGUUUGUUAAGUUGGAUGUGAAAUCCCCGGGCUCAACCUGGGAACUGCAUUCAAAACUGACUGACUAGAGUAUGGUAGAGGGUGGUGGAAUUUCCUGUGUAGCGGUGAAAUGCGUAGAUAUAGGAAGGAACACCAGUGGCGAAGGCGACCACCUGGACCAAUACUGACACUGAGGUGCGAAAGCGUGGGGAGCAAACA